UCUUCAUUUCACACACUCUCUCACCGGUCAGAGAGGCGAGAGAGUGUGUGAAUGGACGAGA
rnacentral:pre_miRNA from 1 species